rnacentral:pre_miRNA from 12 species
CUCUUGUGGCCCCAGAAAUCAAGGAUGGGUGAGACCUCGUGUGCAAACUGAAAGGCGACCCAUACUUGGUUUCAGGGGCUUCGAGAA